AUUUAAAUAGUUUAAUUUAAAAUAAUGAUUUGUGGAAUCAAAGAUAUAAAUAUGAAUUAAUAUUAUUUUAAAUA
rnacentral:tRNA from 1 species